UACGUAGGGGGCGAGCGUUGUCCGGAUUCAUUGGGCGUAAAGCGCGCGUAGGCGGCCCCGCAAGUCGGCCGUGAAAUCUCCGGGCUCAACUCGGAGGGGUCGGGCGAGACUGCGGGGCUCGAGGUGGGCAGAGGGCAGUGGAAUCCGGGUGUAGUGGUGGAAUGCGUAGAGAUCCGGAGGAACACCAGUGGCGAAGGCGGCUGGCCUGGGCCUGGCCGUGACGCUGAGG
rnacentral:rRNA from 1 species